rnacentral:tRNA from 1 species
GCCUGGCUGGCUCUGUAGGUAGAGAGCAUGUGGCUCUUGAUCUUGGGGCUGUGAGUUCAAGCCCCACGCUGGGUG